GAAACUUGCAACUUGUCUUCCCAGCUGAGUUUUGCAACAGUUUUUCUUUAAAACAUCAUCAGCUGGUCAGUUUCAGUUCACACGCUCUGAGACAUGGAUAAAAGAGUGAUCUGUUGUUGUGUUAUUAUUCACAGUUCCCAGAUACUUAGAUCAGCACUCUCUUCUCUACUCUCACUCCUCUUAUUCCUCUCACUCCAGCCUCUCAGGUCAGAAUUAGUGCUUGAGGUUGUAGGAAAAUAACGAUAAAACUUUGAUCUGCACAAAGGUAAGGUCAGUCAUUCCCCACCUUUCUGACUCUGAGGGGCUGUGGUCUGAUGUUCUGCUUUCAGAAACCCACUUCCUCUAUCUUCAGACUCUCUGGGGCACUGCUAGAAUUCAGCAGUAGUUCUCUUUACUAGCGCAGCACAGCCUGAGACCUGAGAGACAGGUUUAUUCACUCGCUCUGGGAUCCGGGGAAUGACAUUGUUAUGGCGCUUCUUCAGACUGGGGUUCUGCAUCUGGGUCCCUGCAUUAUCGUCAUGCUGCUGACUUGUGGAGAUUUUUCAAAUUCAAAUAAGCUGAAAAUAGGUCACUGGAUAAACGAAACUGCGGAUGAGGGUGAAACUGUUGUUUUAUACUGUAAUGGAAGUUAUGAUAGUGGAGAAGAUUUUGUUUGGCGUAAGGAUGGGAAUCUUCUUUUUAUCUACAGCCCCUUUAUUAACCAAACUGUAUCAAACUACACAUCAAGUAGUAUGAGUGUAGAUCCCAGAGAUCCACGGAAACUACAGAUAUCUAACGUUCAGCCUUCAGAUUCAGGAACCUAUAUAUGCACCCCAUCAAGAAUUAUAUGGAUUCUGACCAUCAAUGGCACACAUAAUAAUAUUCCAGGAUAUUUAAAAAAAACGAUCCUGUACACGGUCUCCUCAGCUGCAGGAGCUGUUGCAGUAUUCUGUAUUAUCCUCUGCACUGUGUGGAUUCACAGAAAAUGCAAAACAAGAACCAGGAAAAAUGAAGUUGAGCUUCAGCAGCCACAUGGAAGAAGAAUGGACAACGUUCAGGACAGACAGUAUUUUGAGAGAUUUAAUUCUUUAUAUGGACAAAUUGUCUCAUGAACCUGGUAAGCACUUUUUACGUGUUAAUGCUUUAAAAUAUUGCAUAUAUAAAGAGAUAGGAAAGCUCUUAUAAG
rnacentral:lncRNA from 1 species